rnacentral:rRNA from 1 species
GGCGUAAGGGCUCGCAGGCGGUUUCUUAAGUCUGAUGUGAAAGCCCCCGGCUCAACCGGGGAGGGUCAUUGGAAACUGGGGAACUUGAGUGCAGAAGAGGAGAGUGGAAUUCCACGUGUAGCGGUGAAAUGCGUAGAGAUGUGGAGGAACACCAGUGGCGAAGGCGACUCUCUGGUCUGUAACUGACGCUGAGGAGCGAAAGCGUGGGGAGCGAACAGGAUUAGAUACCCUGGUAGUCCACGCCGUAAACGAUGAGUGCUAAGUGUUAGGGGGUUUCCGCCCCUUAGUGCUGCAGCUAACGCAUUAAGCACUCCGCCUGGGGAGUACGGUCGCAAGACUGAAACUCAAAGGAAUUGACGGGGGCCCGCACAAGCGGUGGAGCAUGUGGUUUAAUUCGAAGCAACGCGAAGAACCUUACCAGGUCUUGACAUCCUCUGACAAUCCUAGAGAUAGGACGUCCCCUUCGGGGGCAGAGUGACAGGUGGUGCAUGGUUGUCGUCAGCUCGUGUCGUGAGAUGUUGGGUUAAGUCCCGCAACGAGCGCAACCCUUGAUCUUAGUUGCCAGCAUUCAGUUGGGCACUCUAAGGUGACUGCCGGUGACAAACCGGAGGAAGGUGGGGAUGACGUCAAAUCAUCAUGCCCCUUAUGACCUGGGCUACACACGUGCUACAAUGGACAGAACAAAGGGCAGCGAAACCGCGAGGUUAAGCCAAUCCCACAAAUCUGUUCUCAGUUCGGAUCGCAGUCUGCAACUCGACUGCGUGAAACUGGAAUCGCUAGUAAUCGCGGA